rnacentral:rRNA from 1 species
AUAUCAAUAAGCGGAGGAAAAGAAACUAACAAGGGUUCCCCUAGUAACGGCGAGUGAAGCGGGAAUAGCUCAAAUUUGAAAUCUCACUUCGGUGCGAAUUGUAGUUUAGAGAAACGUUUUCGGUAAUGGUCUGCGGUACAAGUUCUUUGGAACAAGGCAUCACAGAGGGUGAAAAUCCCGUCUUUGACCGCGGCACUAGAGCCAUAUGAUACGUUUUCCAAGAGUCGGUUUGUUUGGGAAUGCAGACCAAAAUGGGUGGUAAAUACCAUCUAAAGCUAAAUAUUGGCGAGAGACCGAUAGCGCACAAGUA